GCGGGAUAGCUCAGUUGGUAGAGCACAAGACUCUUAACUUCAGGGUCGUGGGUUCGAGCCAGACGUGGGGCA